GGGUUGUGAGGUUAAGCGACUAAGCGUACACGGUGGAUGCCCUGGCAGUCAGAGGCGAUGAAGGACGUGCUAAUCUGCGAUAAGCGUCGGUAAGGUGAUAUGAACCGUUAUAACCGGCGAUUUCCGAAUGGGGAAACCCAGUGUGUUUCGACACACUAUCAUUAACUGAAUCCAUAGGUUAAUGAGGCGAACCGGGGGAACUGAAACAUCUAAGUACCCCGAGGAAAAGAAAUCAACCGAGAUUCCCCCAGUAGCGGCGAGCGAACGGGGAGGAGCCCAGAGCCUGAAUCAGUGUGUGUGUUAGUGGAAGCGUCUGGAAAGGCGCGCGAUACAGGGUGACAGCCCCGUACACAAAAAUGCACAUGCUGUGAGCUCGAUGAGUAGGGCGGGACACGUGGUAUCCUGUCUGAAUAUGGGGGGACCAUCCUCCAAGGCUAAAUACUCCUGACUGACCGAUAGUGAACCAGUACCGUGAGGGAAAGGCGAAAAGAACCCCGGCGAGGGGAGUGAAAAAGAACCUGAAACCGUGUACGUACAAGCAGUGGGAGCCUCUUUUAUGGGGUGACUGCGUACCUUUUGUAUAAUGGGUCAGCGACUUAUAUUCUGUAGCAAGGUUAACCGAAUAGGGGAGCCGAAGGGAAACCGAGUCUUAACUGGGCGUUAAGUUGCAGGGUAUAGACCCGAAACCCGGUGAUCUAGCCAUGGGCAGGUUGAAGGUUGGGUAACACUAACUGGAGGACCGAACCGACUAAUGUUGAAAAAUUAGCGGAUGACUUGUGGCUGGGGGUGAAAGGCCAAUCAAACCGGGAGAUAGCUGGUUCUCCCCGAAAGCUAUUUAGGUAGCGCCUCGUGAAUUCAUCUCCGGGGGUAGAGCACUGUUUCGGCAAGGGGGUCAUCCCGACUUACCAACCCGAUGCAAACUGCGAAUACCGGAGAAUGUUAUCACGGGAGACACACGGCGGGUGCUAACGUCCGUCGUGAAGAGGGAAACAACCCAGACCGCCAGCUAAGGUCCCAAAGUCAUGGUUAAGUGGGAAACGAUGUGGGAAGGCCCAGACAGCCAGGAUGUUGGCUUAGAAGCAGCCAUCAUUUAAAGAAAGCGUAAUAGCUCACUGGUCGAGUCGGCCUGCGCGGAAGAUGUAACGGGGCUAAACCAUGCACCGAAGCUGCGGCAGCGACACUGUGUGUUGUUGGGUAGGGGAGCGUUCUGUAAGCCUGCGAAGGUGUACUGUGAGGUAUGCUGGAGGUAUCAGAAGUGCGAAUGCUGACAUAAGUAACGAUAAAGCGGGUGAAAAGCCCGCUCGCCGGAAGACCAAGGGUUCCUGUCCAACGUUAAUCGGGGCAGGGUGAGUCGACCCCUAAGGCGAGGCCGAAAGGCGUAGUCGAUGGGAAACAGGUUAAUAUUCCUGUACUUGGUGUUACUGCGAAGGGGGGACGGAGAAGGCUAUGUUGGCCGGGCGACGGUUGUCCCGGUUUAAGCGUGUAGGCUGGUUUUCCAGGCAAAUCCGGAAAAUCAAGGCUGAGGCGUGAUGACGAGGCACUACGGUGCUGAAGCAACAAAUGCCCUGCUUCCAGGAAAAGCCUCUAAGCAUCAGGUAACAUCAAAUCGUACCCCAAACCGACACAGGUGGUCAGGUAGAGAAUACCAAGGCGCUUGAGAGAACUCGGGUGAAGGAACUAGGCAAAAUGGUGCCGUAACUUCGGGAGAAGGCACGCUGAUAUGUAGGUGAAGCGACUUGCUCGUGGAGCUGAAAUCAGUCGAAGAUACCAGCUGGCUGCAACUGUUUAUUAAAAACACAGCACUGUGCAAACACGAAAGUGGACGUAUACGGUGUGACGCCUGCCCGGUGCCGGAAGGUUAAUUGAUGGGGUCAGCGCAAGCGAAGCUCUUGAUCGAAGCCCCGGUAAACGGCGGCCGUAACUAUAACGGUCCUAAGGUAGCGAAAUUCCUUGUCGGGUAAGUUCCGACCUGCACGAAUGGCGUAAUGAUGGCCAGGCUGUCUCCACCCGAGACUCAGUGAAAUUGAACUCGCUGUGAAGAUGCAGUGUACCCGCGGCAAGACGGAAAGACCCCGUGAACCUUUACUAUAGCUUGACACUGAACAUUGAGCCUUGAUGUGUAGGAUAGGUGGGAGGCUUAGAAGUGUGGACGCCAGUCUGCAUGGAGCCGACCUUGAAAUACCACCCUUUAAUGUUUGAUGUUCUAACGUUGACCCGUGAUCCGGGUUGCGGACAGUGUCUGGUGGGUAGUUUGACUGGGGCGGUCUCCUCCUAAAGAGUAACGGAGGAGCACGAAGGUUGGCUAAUCCUGGUCGGACAUCAGGAGGUUAGUGCAAUGGCAUAAGCCAGCUUGACUGCGAGCGUGACGGCGCGAGCAGGUGCGAAAGCAGGUCAUAGUGAUCCGGUGGUUCUGAAUGGAAGGGCCAUCGCUCAACGGAUAAAAGGUACUCCGGGGAUAACAGGCUGAUACCGCCCAAGAGUUCAUAUCGACGGCGGUGUUUGGCACCUCGAUGUCGGCUCAUCACAUCCUGGGGCUGAAGUAGGUCCCAAGGGUAUGGCUGUUCGCCAUUUAAAGUGGUACGCGAGCUGGGUUUAGAACGUCGUGAGACAGUUCGGUCCCUAUCUGCCGUGGGCGCUGGAGAACUGAGGGGGGCUGCUCCUAGUACGAGAGGACCGGAGUGGACGCAUCACUGGUGUUCGGGUUGUCAUGCCAAUGGCACUGCCCGGUAGCUAAAUGCGGAAGAGAUAAGUGCUGAAAGCAUCUAAGCACGAAACUUGCCCCGAGAUGAGUUCUCCCUGACCCUUUAAGGGUCCUGAAGGAACGUUGAAGACGACGACGUUGAUAGGCCGGGUGUGUAAGCGCAGCGAUGCGUUGAGCUAACCGGUACUAAUGAACCGUGAGGCUUAACCUUACAACGCCGAAG
rnacentral:rRNA from 1 species